UUUUUUAAAUAUUUUUCAAGUGGUUUUUUGAUGUUUUUAAUUGUUUUUUUGUGAAUUUUAAAUACAGUAAGUUCAGAUCAUUAAAUUGUAUUAAACAUUAAAUCUAAAAUGGAGUAUUAUAUCAUUUUCUUAGUAGGUACUUACUGUUCGAGUUCCCGUUCUUUGAAAACGUUUCACCGGUGUCGUGUGAGAAUAAUAAGUAUAUGCAUACCUACCCUAAGUAGGUACUAGGUACUUAUACAGAUGGUUAUAUAAAUAGAAAUAUUAUAACCAUUAGACACUGCCGAACACAAUUUAGUUUUUUACAACUAUAAUGUCACAACGAAAUGCACGAUGUACAGAUGAUGCUUACAAAAGGAGGAAAAAGAAAGAUAUAUUAUUAUUGGACUUUUCCGAACUUCUCAUAGUAGUGUAUUUAACGUUUAAAUAUGAUGUAUUUAGUACCUAUAUAUUAUAGGUGGCCAACCGUUGAUUGUAAUCGACCAGUAGACCACAAACGAAAUUUAUGAUUUAGAAAUUUAGAUUCUGAGAAGAGCGAAGAAGAUUAUUAUUAGAAACAUUCCUAUUAUUAAAAAAUGGAGCAAAACUGCUCGUAGAAGAGUUGUUCACAGAAAAAAAGAAAGCCUUAAUAUAUUUUAUCUAAUAAUUAAAUUUCUUAUAUUUUCCCGUUUUUUUUUCAGUUUUUCAAAUUUGAUGAGAAAAUUCACCUACCUGAUUACUCUCAAUUUAAAUUUCAAAAUAUACUAUGUUAAACACUAUAAAUCAUAUCAACCAAAAUGAUGGAAUGAUUAUUUUCAUAAGAGACACUCAAAUAUCUGAAU